rnacentral:misc_RNA from 1 species
UAUUAUGCAAGCAACUACAUCUAAACAAAAACAAAAAGUAGUAUAAGGACAGGUACACCUAUCUGAAUUGACCUUGAAAGUCCGUUUACACCUGGGCAUAAACAAUUUCGUCAGACAGUAUCACUUAAUAAUUUUUUGGCCUUCACAUGGAUGAAAAACUGGGGCAGUGACUCGCUAGUUUCACAGGUUGCAGACUUUAUCGAGGUCAAGCUCCUUCCUGUGCAAGUGGCAUUUUACAUUAUCUCUAACAGAAGUGCAUCCAUUAAAUUAGUUUUUUGCACUGAAGAAAAGAACUUUUUUAUAGUGAUGUAUGAUUUCCUCAUCAUCUGAUCAUUCCAUAUUCAAAUGGCUCUAUUUUUGAUUACUCAAGGAAUGUGUUAUUCUUGAACAAAUCCGGUCGGUUUUGCACUUACUGAUAUCUAUUAUUUUUAUUGUCUUUAUUAUGUCUACCGUCAUAGUUUCAACCAUUGACUAUUGUUACUUUUGAGUUUGAUAUUGAAGAUCACUUUGUGUUAUCAAUUAUUAUGUUGAAAAGAGCCUUGAGCUGUAUUUUUUAUAAUUUUAUUUUGCUGCAAAAACCUGCUAGUAUGCUAAGUCUGCAUUUAACUUAAACUUUUAUCAUAUAUAAGAUUUUAAAAAAUCAUUAAUUUUUGGCAGUAGAAAGAUUUCUCUUCUAAGGUAUAUAUAGCAGUUCAAUUUUUGUACAAGACGACAAUAAUUCAAUUUAGCUUUAAUUAAAUCCUCUUAACGGCUUUUCCUACAAAAAUAAGGCUAACAGAAAUUCUAAAAACAUGCUAUUUUUGUCAUUUUAGUUGGAAAUAAAAUUUUCGUAAAAAAAAUUCAGCAUGAAAAUUGCAGCUCAAAUUGCUUUAAGAUUGAAUAACAUUUGUGCCCAACCAGCGAACAAUAAAAUAUUUUUAAAUU